AUUGAACGCUGGCGGCAUGCCUUACACAUGCAAGUCGAACGGUAACGGGCCUUCGGGUGCCGACGAGUGGCGAACGGGUGAGUAAUGUAUCGGAACGUACCUUUCAGUGGGGGAUAACGUAGCGAAAGUUACGCUAAUACCGCAUAUUCUGUGCGCAGGAAAGCAGGGGAUCGCAAGACCUUGCGCUGAUUGAGCGGCCGAUAUCAGAUUAGCUAGUUGGUGAGGUAAAGGCUCACCAAGGCGACGAUCUGUAGCGGGUCUGAGAGGAUGAUCCGCCACACUGGAACUGAGACACGGUCCAGACUCCUACGGGAGGCAGCAGUGGGGAAUUUUGGUCAAUGGGGGCAACCCUGAUCCAGCCAUGCCGCGUGAGUGAAGAAGGCCUUCGGGUUGUAAAGCUCUUUCGGCCGGGAAGAAAUCGCAUGGGCUAAUACCCUGUGCGGAUGACGGUACCGGCAUAAGAAGCACCGGCUAACUACGUGCCAGCAGCCGCAGUAACAC
rnacentral:rRNA from 1 species